GGAGUUCUUGGCUUCAAUGCUGGUUGUGUUGCUGACCUCCAGUGGUUGCUCCUUCCUUGAUGGCACGAAGGACAUGCAUAGAACCUGCAGUGUCAAUGAACUUGCAACCACGAUAAACGUUAUAUUCUUCAUAACUGACAACGGCAACAUUUGAAGCUGCCUGGAACUGGUGCUGUUCCCAAAGGUUUUGAGGGGCAAUUGAUAUAACCCUAAAUGAGGAAGGUAAAUAUUUGCAUGCCUACUGAGGGUCAAGGGGGAAGAGAGUGCAUCUGAAGAAAAGAGGCCUUCUGGUCACGCUGUAAAUGCUCCGGAGUGGCGAGAAGCCCUUGGAAGCUGUUAGGAUGGAAUCUGCCCGUGGAGAAAUCGAGGUGGAACUGUAAGAUAAUAAGGACAGGCAAUGAGC